CCAACAGUACCUCAAUGGUGCAUUUGCUGUUUGAAUGAGCUCUGUUUUGCCUAGGUUUUCCUUGUCCAUUUGCUGUCUUUAUCAAAUUCUCUAUUUUACUCCAACUUUUUCAUCCAACCAGGACCGAAAGACUUACACCGUCAGCCCCUGGGAGAAUCGCCCUCAACUGAAGACAGUUAUCUUGCCCAAGGCACACCACCUUCAUGGACAGCGCACAUUCAGUGCAUUGCAUCAAACACAUCUGCCGGCUUGUGAAAGAGACCAGGGGCACCAAGGAGGAUUGACAGAAAUAUUGGCCCAAGAAGAAGGCUGAGCCGGACAGAGCAGUUUCCAUUCUGUGAAUCAGG